UACGUAGGGGGCGAGCGUUGUCCGGAUUUAUUGGGCGUAAAGAGCUCGUAGGCGGCUUGGCAAGUCGGGUGUGAAACCUCCAGGCUCAACCUGGAGACGCCACUCGAUACUGCCAUGGCUAGAGUCCGGUAGGGGACCACGGAAUUCCUGGUGUAGCGGUGAAAUGCGCAGAUAUCAGGAGGAACACCGGCGGCGAAGGCGGCCCUCUGGACCGUUGCUGACGCUGAGACGCGAAAGCGUGGGGAGCAAACAGG
rnacentral:rRNA from 1 species